UCGCUACUUGCGUAGGCAGUCCAUUUAGAGUGCCCAGCUUGACCUGAUGGCAACUAAAUGUAGGGGUUGCGCUCGUUGCAGGACUUAACCUAACACCUCACGGCACGAGCUGACGACAGCCAUGCAGCACCUGUACCAGUGUGUAUUGCUACAAGACCGACUUUCAUCGGUUGUCACUGGCCUUUCAAACCCGGGUAAGGUUCUUCGCGUUGCAUCGAAUUGAACCACAUGCUCCACUGCUUGUGCGGGCCCCCGUCAAUUCCUUUGAGUUUCAACCUUGCGAUCGUACUCCCCAGGUGGGGUACUUAAUGCGUUAGCUUUGGCACUGAUCCCGCUUGAAGCUCGCUUUCGCAAGCGCCAAGCGGGACCAGCACCGAGUACCCAUCGUUUAAGGCGUGGA
rnacentral:misc_RNA from 1 species